AGAUAUUGUAGGAUCGAGGCCUGCCUGUCUAG
rnacentral:tRNA from 1 species